rnacentral:lncRNA from 1 species
GUGGGAUGCUGCCACAGCAUGGCUUGAUGAGUGGUGUGUAGGUCUGUGCCCGGGAUCCAAACCUGCAGAGCAUGCGAAUUCUGCCACUAUGCCACCGGGCCGGCCCCUUGAAAUAAUGUUUUUAAUCUGUCAACUUUUAUACUGAUUUAUGGGAGAGAUAAUAUUCCCAUUCCCAGAUUAUAAAACCAUUCCUCAGAAGCAGAAAGAGGAAGUAAAAUAUCUUGAGAACUUGCCUACUUCAAGUUUCCUUUUAUUAUCUAGGAGACUGGAAAAUACAGUAAUUCUAGCCAACAGAGGUGGUCACAGGACUCGAUUUUCUAGUAUUAAUCUAGUUUCCAAAACCUAGACCACAUUGUACAGAACUUACAAGCCACGCAGGCCUGGAAACCUAACCUCCAUUUCAGCCACCAGUGGGGAGGGAGGUGGUUUUCUGUCGAUGGGUACAUGGAAUGUCUCUACCUUGCCCCUCCCCUGAAAGUGACUUUUUGUCCCUCUGCAUGUUUUGAGUUGCUGAUGGCUUCUAGCUCUGGCAUCCUUUUCUCUCCUGGCCAUAGUGACCUGUGUGUACUCAUGGUUACUAAGUGAGCUCAGUGUCUGUGCUUCAAAGUCAUCAUCUGCGAGGAAAGCUCUGUCUGAGGCUGUGCAGCACGGUGCCGAGUGGAUGGGGAAUCAUGUUGGACUGGAUGGCUGCGAACAGAGGCUAAAAGCACAAUCUGUUGUUAGAGUGACAAGUAGAGACGUGGCAGAUAAGUAAUACGACAUAUUUCCUCCCGGCUCCCAGACGCUCUUGUUAAGAUAAACACUAAAUAACACCAGCUGGUCUCCAUGUGAAUAUUAUUAUCAAAUUUACGUUCCCAAAGGAGUAAGUUUUUUAUGACGAUUUGUGUUUCUCUUUCACGUGACUGUCUUUGAAGGUCUACUGCCUGCUUGGGGUCUGUUGUGAUUCUGGAGCUGUUGAAACACGACAGCAGGUGACCCUCGCUCACCCACGGUAAGAGUUUAUGUCUUCCUGACAUGGAGGCAGGUCUCCUUCCACUCGUGUUUAAUCUGAGCUUGGAGAAUGAAAAAUAACUUCCAGCUAAUCAAACAUAAAAGUAAACGUGGGUGAGUUUGCUUCAGGAAGGGUCAGCUGAUUAUCCCAGCAUUAUGCGGUGUCUCGUGAAUUCCUGGGGGUGGUCUGCAGGAGAACACGGCCUUCUACAAGCUUGUUCCGGCCUUUACUCUUGGGUGCCUUUGUUGACCUUGAAAAGGUGGCGCAGUUGCUCGUUUUCAAUGCUCAUUUGAGAAUGAGACACCUCCACUCCCUACUAAUUAGAAGAUUAAAUGAAUUGAAGAAAAGACUUGAUCCAGAUGAGCUGACACCGUUUCCUUCUUUUGCGUGUUUGGCUUCCUUCUAGAAUCCCGGGGAAUUUGCUAUCAGCUUCUGUAGCUGCACUGCUUCACAAGGACGGAUGCAGCGGUGCUAAGCGCUAGUGUCGUGAAAUGGUUUCUUCUCAAGGGGUUUUGGGAACACCUGUGGUAAGGGGUGUCUUCGGUCUGGAGGAGUUAGACUGUAUCACCUCACCUCUGCUUUGAGCCACGUGGACAGUAAGAGCUUUGCAAUCUCUUACAAAGGGAAAGGCUGGUGAUCGUAGCAUCUUUGAUUACAGGUUCAUAGGAAAAAAUACUGUGAAAGUUGUCUUUAUUGAGUGUGGUUUUAUCACUGUGGGAGUGACUUCCACUUCACUCCUGGCCGUUUAUAAGGACCAGUACAGACUCAGCUUUCUGCUAGGCAGUCUGCUUGCUGCAUUCAAGAUCCCUCACUGCCAGGUGAACGGCUGGGAAAAUCCUUGCUGUUGUUUCGAUGACGCAGAGAGCAUACCUCUGUCGGGGUGGUCUUCCUUGCCUGUUUUAAACUUCCUUGCACGUGUAAGCAGAGCGCUGUGCGACCUUGCUCAGUUUCAACAAGGGUCAGCGUUUCUUAAUUGGUCUCCAGAUAUCUUGCGGGUCCUGUGUUCUGUUCACCCUGCUGGCUUUUGCAGGCAGCAUUUAUGUUAGGUCCUUUCCCAUUGCUUUCUAGAAGGUGUAAUGAUUGUGCAGGCCUUUUCUUGGGUCAUUAAACAUGUCAAGUUGGUUUAGCCAAGUGGCCCUGAGUAAUGAACUCUGCAUACAAGAUACUCUCUUAACAACGUUGUCUAAGAAAGUCUUUCAUUUUGCAAAAAUUACUCUGAACCCACAUAACCCUAAAUUCACUGCACCAAGGAACAGGAAUGCAAAACUAUCAAGCCUACUGAUGGUUCACCGCACACAUCACAGUAAUAGUAAGCAAUAAACGUCUGCAGAGUCAGCGGGUACAAGGGGGGUUGCCAUUUUGUCUCAUUUCCUGACUUAUUCUUUCAGUAGUUGUCAGGAGAGUAUACAAAAGUCUUUUUGGUCAUCACGGGCCAAAUGUAAUAGACUGUGCAUAGAUCCUCCUGCUGGGGUAGAUGAUGCCUCGGUGAGGACAUAAAUGACAAAGGAGCACAGCAAUGAUGUAAAGAAUUAGAGUUAUAUGGAGAUCCGGAUGAACACUGUCUUUUGAAAAGCUUUUUAAAUUCUCCUCAUCAAAAACCUUAGACACAGUUUAUAGAAAAAGAAUGGGUUUCAAGAAUAGCAGAAAGAAAUGACAGAUGAUUACUGAGGAAAUUAAUUGGUCCUGAUGGAAAACGUAUGCCUUCUUGGUUUCGCAGUUUGGGUGGGCCCAUGAGCUUGGUGCUGCACGCACUGUGUGAAGCAAAGGAAACUGAGGUUUGUGCAGUCAGAUUUAGUCGUGCCCAGGGUUGGGGAGUUG